UCUCCGUUGGUGAACCAGCGGAGGGAUCAUUACAGGACUCGCAAGACUCCUACAACCCUGUGAACUUAACUAUAAGCACGUUGCUUCGGCGGGUGUCUCGGAGGGGGUUCUCCCUCCCCGAGACGCUAAACCCGCCGGCAGCCUACUAUACUCUGUCUCUUUGCGUUGGCAUCACGAGUACAAUCAAACAAGUUAAAACUUUCAACAACGGAUCUCUUGGUUCUG
rnacentral:misc_RNA from 1 species